AUUAAAGUGGCAGAAGAAAAUGUAAGGAAUUUAAGCUUCCUUUAUGACUUAAAAUCCUUUAAUA
rnacentral:tRNA from 1 species